UAGGGUUAUUCCGAUGACAUUCUCUGUUUCACCCAAAUAUGUUUGUUUAUUAGGGUUACUCUGAUGCCAUUCUCUGUUUCAGCCAAAUCAAGCCCAUUUGGGAGGCGCGUGCAACAGUUGUUUGGCUUGAUAAAAUUUAUCACCCUGUUCAUUUUCCACCAGAUGUGAGAUCCAAAAUUGUCCCAUUUAUUCGUCAUGAUGUGCCCGAUUGAUGUAUCAUAUCAAAAGGGUCUAACAAACACUUUUGAAGUAUUUUACAAGAUAUAUCUUUUUCGAUAAGGUUAAGGGCAUGUUUGGCUAAGCUUAUUUAACCUAAAAAAGACUUUUUGUGAAAGGGACUUAUUGACUUAUGAAUUUUUGAAAAGAAGUUUUUAAAAAAGUGUU
rnacentral:lncRNA from 1 species